CAUGACAGUUUGCAGUUGAUGUUACAUAAUUUUCUGCUACUCAGGAACUCAAGUCUUUGGGAAUAAGACCUAGAGAAAGUCCCCAGCUUAGAGCCCCCAGCAUCUCUCCCUGGGGAAGGACUGGUGUGGGGGCCGCCUGGGGAGAGUGGAGCUCCCUCUGCUGUGACUGUUCUCUCCUCUUCCCUCAGGCUCUCCAGCACCAAGAGGGCCGUGAAGGCGGCCUUGGCAGAUGACUUUGACACACCCAGGGUGGUUGAUGCCAUCCUGGGCCUUACACACCACGGGAAUGGACAGCUCAGGGCGUCCCUGAAGGAACCUGGAGGGCCGAGAAGUCCUGCUGUGUUUGGUGCCAUCAUCUCUUACUUUGAACAGUUUUUUGAAACUGUUGGAAUUUCUCUGGCAAAUCAACAGUACGUUUCAGGAGACGGCAGCGAGGCUACCUUGCAUGGUGUGGUGGACGAGCUGGUGCGGUUCCGGCAGAAGGUC
rnacentral:sRNA from 1 species